rnacentral:rRNA from 1 species
GGGGGCCCGCACAAGCGGUGGAGCAUGUGGUUUAAUUCGACGCAACGCGCAGAACCUUACCAGCCCUUGACAUGUCUAUGACCGGUACCAGAGAUGGAACCUUCCCUUCGGGGCAUAGAGCACAGGUGCUGCAUGGCUGUCGUCAGCUCGUGUCGUGAGAUGUUGGGUUAAGUCCCGCAACGAGCGCAACCCCCGUCCUUAGUUGCUACCGUUAAGGUGGGCACUCUAAGGAGACUGCCGGUGACAAACCGGAGGAAGGUGGGGAUGACGUCAAGUCAUCAUGGCCCUCACGGCCUGGGCUACACACGUGCUACAAUGGUCGGUACAGAGGGUUGCCAAGCCGCGAGGUGGAGCUAAUCCCAGAAAACCGAUCGUAGUCCGGAUCGCAGUCUGCAACUCGACUGCGUGAAGUCGGAAUCGCUAGUAAUCGCGAAUCAGAAUGUCGCGGUGAAUACGUUCCCGGGCCUUGUACACACCGCCCGUCACACCAUGGGAGUGGGUUGCACCAGAAGUAGCUAGUCUAACCUUCGGGAGGACGGUUACCACGGUGUGAUUCAUGACUGGGGUGAAG